AUUGUAUAACUCAGUUGUCAGCAAGCCUGCUUUGUGACACAGACCUUAAAAUGAUUGAGUGAGUGAAUUUAGUUUUACGCCGCACUCAGCAAUAUUCCAGCUACAUGGCGGCGGUCUGUAAAUAAUCGAGUCUG